CCUACGGGAGGCAGCAGUGAGGAAUAUUGGUCAAUGGACGAGAGUCUGAACCAGCCAAGUAGCGUGAAGGAUGACUGCCCUAUGGGUUGUAAACUUCUUUUAUCUGGGAAUAAAAUGUUCCACGUGUGGGAUUUUGUAUGUCCCAUAUGAAUAAGGAUCGGCUAACUCCGUGCCAGCAGCCGCGGUAAUACGGAGGAUCCGAGCGUGAUCCGGAUUUAGUGGGUUUAAAGGGAGCGUAGGUGGAUUGUUAAGUCAGUUGUGAAAGUUUGCGGCUCAACCGUAAAAUUGCAGUUGAAACUGGCAGUCUUGAGUACAGUAGAGGUGGGCGGAAUUCGUGGUGUAGCGGUGAAAUGCUUAGAUAUCACGAAGAACUCCGAUUGCGAAGGCAGCUCACUGGACUGCAACUGACACUGAGGCUCGAAAGUGUGGGUAUCAAACAGGAUUAGAUACCCGAGUAGUC
rnacentral:rRNA from 1 species